rnacentral:tRNA from 1 species
UACUUUAUAAUUUAAAUAAAAUAUUAGUUUUGUAAACUAGUUAUGCCCUCCCGGCUAAAGUAU